AGCUAUAUAGCAUAAAUGGCAAAUGCAUAAGAUUGCAAAUCUUAAAAUGUCGGUUCAAAUCCGGUUUUAGCUU
rnacentral:tRNA from 1 species